UACGUAGGGUGCAAGCGUUAAUCGGAAUUACUGGGCGUAAAGCGUGCGCAGGCGGUUUUGUAAGUCUGACGUGAAAUCCCCGGGCUUUACCUGGGAAUGGCGAUGGAGACUGCAAGGCUGGAAUCUGGCAGAGGGGGGUAGAAUUCCACGUGUAGCAGUGAAAUGCGUAGAUAUGUGGAGGAACACCGAUGGCGAAGGCGGCCCCCUGGGUCAAAACUGACGCUCAUGCACGAAAGCGUGGGGAGCAAACAGG
rnacentral:rRNA from 1 species